rnacentral:lncRNA from 10 species
UGUACGUAUAUGUGUGUUUAAUUUAGAAGGUCAAUCCUUAAACAUUAAAACCUUAAAACUCAAUCUAUUUAUGUUUGUUCUAAGGCAUUACUUGUCCAGAAUCAUUAGGGUGUAUCCUGCUAGUUGCCAUUAGCUUGAUUAUUAUUUGUUCAGACUUUUCCAAAAAUUGACUCAUAUAAACCCUUCUCCGUUUCCUCAUUACACUUCCCUGCCACCCCGAGUCUUUCCUGAAAGAUAAAUCACAUUAUUUUUUGGCAAUGGUUUUGUAAUGGGGAAUUUAGCACAAGACUAAAAUUGACUCUGUGCAAAAUUAGCUGGCCCUGAUUCUUAUGAUUCAGUUUACCAAAUAGCUAUGUUAAUGGACCUAGACAAUGUCAGAAAUACCUGUGUCAGCUCUGUUGCAGAAGCCAGGGAAAAUGACCAUGACAGGGAAAACCUACUCUCAUUAAGUUUGCUGCUUUUUUUAUUUAAUGAAGAAGAUUAUUUUUCCUUUUGUGAAAAACACUGGGCAAACAUAUGUAAAUGUUUUGAUCAUCUCUUCCCAUUGGGUAAGUAUGCCUAAGCAGGAGCAAAAGGCAGAGGAAAAGAAGCUCAUUUCCUGAAAUGGAAUACUGUCUAGAUUUGGCUCUAUAGCCCAGAGGAUGAUUGGGAUGUGUAUUGUUCUUGGAUGCCUCUGAAGUGAAGACCAAAGGGAAAGAAUUCAGAAACCUUGAACUGGAAGGGUUGGUGUUACUCAUCCUCUGAUGACUGUCUUCAAAGUCAACAAAAUCAAACAGCUGGACUUGAGAGGAGUCAUAUUUGUGGGGAAAAGACCAGGUCAUUCUUGAGUGCCCCCUUGAUUUUUACUUUAGCUGCUUUAUUUUAACUUUGUUCUUGCAAGGAUCACCUAUUUUAAUGAGUCUUAGUCCUAUCAACAUUUGCAACUGUCUCAUUGAGAAUCUCCUUUUGGUGGAAGUGUGAGUGGGUGGGGUGGGCUGAGAAUAUUGUCUCUGCCUAGUCUCUUAGUAAACAUUUGGAUUACAUUUUAUUUUUGGACCCUAAGCUCCCAAUUUUCAGAGACUAUCUUCUUUUUGGUAUGUGAUUUUGACUGCAAAAAAAGUAGUUUAGUCCAAUAUUUCCCACCCUAAAUCAAAUUUUUGAGAACCAUAAGUAGGCCAUUAAAAACUUUAUACUUUUCCAGUGAGAUUAGGAGGGAAAUGUUCCAAUAAGUUCACACCAUUGUUUUAAUGUCUCUGAGUGAUCCCAUGAAUAAGCUAAGAAUCACACAACCUCUAGGAUGAAUAUGACCUGGAGUAAGAAAGAAAAAUUUAAAACUAAGAAAAAUUUAUUUUAGAAACAAUUGAAUUCUCAUCCCCAGGAGUAUAAUACAUGUGGUAAUAUUUCUCACAGAUAUGGAAUCAUUGUUUCUCAUAAUUCUUUUCAUAGUUAUUGAUCUUCCUUGCCACUACCUCAACUAUGAGACUUAUGGGUUUUUCUUUCAUGUAACCAUUAGUCCUUGUUCUGGUCCAUAUAUUUUAGUGGCUAUCAUAGCUACAGAUAAUGAGCUUUAGCACUAAGAAGCCGUUGGAAGGAUAUAGCAAUUACUUGGUCUAGUGAGUGAGCAUAGUUGUGUUAGCUAUAGCUCAAAGAAGAUUAUGUGAUUAAUGUUUAUUUGCCAAAUAGGAUGGGAGAAGGAUUGUAGUAAAGGCAAAUAAAACAUUUUUUUCCUUAAUAAAUCUAUAUGGGAUUAAUAAUUAGUUCUAUAUGUGUAAAUGUUACUUACUCUUGGUAACAUAUUUGUAUUGAAGAAGAACAGUGUAGAAGACAAUUUUUAUAAUUCAUCUCCACAAUAAGGAAGGUCUGUUAAAGCAAAAACUAAAUGACUAUGUCCAUAAAGGAGAACCCCAGGAAAUCAGAAAUGGCACUAGAGUCCUUAUUUUCCUGGGAAUUUACAAAGCUGAUUCACGUUUUAAUCUUUAAUAUGGUAAGGAGAUGUUACUGAGAUUGCUAAAGUCCAUGUCUGACAAACUACGUUGAUAUUUUAAAUCAGUAAAUCUCACUGUGCUUCAAAGAGGCAGCAAUCUAAGUAAGAUACAUAUGAUUUAGGGAGGUGUGUGUGCAGUUAUAUAUUUGUUUCCUAUUGGAGAAGAUUAGGCUUUAGUGAAUGGGUCUUAUUCCAUGGUAAACUGUCGGCCCAGGGGAUUUCUAAUCUUUAAGCCUGGAAUAGACACACUCUUGGCUGACAUGUUCCUGGAAGAGGGAUGAUUAAUGGAACUAAUUUUAAGAACACGUCUAUCUUUUAAAACAAACAAAAAAAUCUACAUGUGGUAUUAUUGGCAAGUUGCUUGCAUGAUGAGUCUUAACAGAGUUCUUUCCACAUGGAUUACCUGAAUAAAUGAAGCAAGGAAGAGAGAGCACUAGCUUGUACUGAGCAACUACUGGAUAUAAUAAUAUAUUCUAAAAUAGCAAAAUAUUGCACAUUAUGAUACUGGUAUAAAAAUGGAUCAGUUUGUUAGAGUAUGAAUUCCAGAAAAAGAAUUAAUUUAAUGUUUCAAGGAACCCUUCCAACAAGAAGAAAUUAAGGAUUUUUCAUUAAAUGGUGAUCUGAUAGAUAGCAGUUUUGAAAAUGAAAAAUUAUAUUAAAGAUUUCUGUGUUGAUGAUCAAGGAUUGAUACAAUUACCUCCACUCUUUAGUAAGGCACUGAAAGAUUUUCUAAGCAUAAAAAUGCAAAAGGACAAAAGAAAUGAGAAAUUGCAUUAGCAACAAAUUUUUGGAAGAUAGAAAUUAAAAGAUGAGUGCUAAGACAUUUAACUGACCUGAGAAUACUGAAUCUUAAGUCAGCAAUGGAGAAAAUUGAGCAGCUACUCAAUCUGUACCGCAGAUCUCACAAGAGGCUCAGAAAUUGUCAGCACCACGUAUCUCUGGAGAGGACAGGAUGGAGUGUAUGAAGAGGUUGUUGAAAACAGGAAGUUGGAUUCAAUUAUUUUUUUAGACUCAGUUAAAUCACCAGAUUCCUCAUCCUCUGUGCAGCUGGAAGAGUUGUUGUCCCUCACCCUGGCAGAAGACUGGAAGUUUAUUCUCUAGAGAGGUAAAGUUGAGUGUCUCUGGGUUGGGAGUAUCAGACACAUUUUGAAGGAAGGCAAAUCUUAUUGCAGAUUGAGGGAUUUAGUUAAAGCUUGCCUACUGAAUGUUAGGUGCUCCCAUACCAUUCUUCUCCCACUCUGCUCUCAGAAAGCAAAAGAGCCUGUCUUAUGCUUUUCUUAAAAUACUUGAAGAUUAUUCUAUGCAGAAUGUAAAUGGUCAGUAAGAAAAGACUAAAGUCAAUGCUUUCUUCAGUGUCACAGCCCAGUCAGAUCACUCUUUAAAGUGAAGCCCAAAGUUGACAAGCACACACAGUGCUGAGAAGUGCCAACCAGCCUGUAGAGAUCACCAGAUAUUUUAACAAAACCUCUAACCUAAAAGUUAGAGACUAACAUAAAUAAACAGAAAAUAACAAUGUUGGUGGAACAGAUUAUACAGAGAGCUAAAAAAUUAAAAACACAAUUAUUUCCCAAGUAGCUAUGAGACAAUAUUGUAUCAAUGAAACAAGAAUAAUGUGCUUCAAAAAGGGAGAAUAUGACUCAAGAAAAAACGUCCCGAAAAUUAAAAACAAAAUACAAUAAAAUAGUUCUAAAAUAGAAGUUUUAGAAACCAACAUUAAGAUGUUCUCUCAGAAAGUAAAACAAACAGCAAUGGUAAAUAGGAGAGAAAAAAUGGUAGAGGAUUAUCUCAGGAGUGCCAAUAUUUGAAAUUAUAGUUCUAAAUAGACAAAAUACAAAAAAGGAACAUAAAAUAAUCAAUAAGUAUCUCCCAGAAUUGGAGAGAAUGAGUUAUAGAAUUAUAAGAAGUGCCUAGCAAAAUAGAUUAAAAUAUGAGCACAUCCUGUCAUUUCAUACUGCCAGUGCCCAAGAUAAGAUCCUGAACCUUUUGGAGAGGAAACAAAAAUCAGAUAUACUAAAGAUUAUGAAUAGAAUGCUUUUGGACUCUGCAGAAACAGACCAAUGUCUUCAAAACUUCUAGGAAAAAUGUUUCCCAAUCUAGAAUUGUGUACUCAAACUGUCAAGUAAAUGUGAGAGUAGAAUAAAGACAUUUUAGGACAGUCAAUAUUACCAAAAAUGUGCCUCCUACUUACCUUUUCUCUGAAAGCUACUUUAGGAUUUUCUCUGCCAACUUAGAAAGUAAAAGCAAGAAAGAAGAUAAAUGAUCUGGGAAACAGGAUCUCACUGUAGCAAGUGGUAAAAAGAAUACCCUCGAUGAUGAUAUGCACCGAUUUGUAGUAUUUAGUAAAUAUCACUUUCCUUUCCCUAUCUCCAAACUCCUGUGUCCUCAAACGUUCUUCAGUGGGCAGAUCUCUGCAAACCUACCCCUAAAGUUAGAGGAAACUGAAAAGCAGAAGAAAGAGGCUGACAAAUCAAUUUUUUUAGUAAGAAAUAUUUAAUAGGGCCUUACAAACAGAAGCCAUGCUGUCCCCAGUGGCAACGAGAUGAGAUAGUGGGUCCCCAUGCCAUUAACCCCAGAUCUGAGGCUUAUAUACCAUAGGGAAAGGGUAUAUGUGGUUCAGAAGGAAUGUGUAGGACACCUGAAGUAUGAUAACAUCAAGAUUGUUUUGACCUAAGGGAAGAGUUUACAAUAAGUAUGUGUUCUUACACAAGGCACAACAGAUAGACUGGAAAUCUUAGAGGCCUUCCUGGAACAGAGGUGAAUCAGAAGUCAACGUGGCAGAUUAGCAUCCAAGAUGGAGUUGCUUUAGCUUCCACAUCAAACUCCCAUGCAUUAAAGUGUGGCCUCUGGACUGUCUUGUGGAUGGAAUGGAUUGUGCUACUUUCUUGCUACUGUUUUCAACAAAUGAUUUUGCCUCUUCUGGCUCCCCUUAAGAUAGCUGGAUGCAGGUUAUGACUAGGCCCCAGUAGAUGGUAGAUUCACAAGAUUAAAAAUAAAAACCUGGAUCCAUAAAUCACCACAUGGAGAAGAGGCACCCACUAACCAAGGAUCACCAUCUUGGAUUGUUUCGUGAGCAGGAAAUAACUUUCUAUUCUGGAAGUCUGUUUAUCAUUGCAGCCUACCCUAACUACUAGGAACAGUAAAGGAAAUACUAGGAUAAAACUAUGUAAUAGGCCUAGAGAGUAACCAGUCCAGAUUAGAGCAAGUCAGAAAAGUUUUCCAAGAAGAUGAAGCAGAUAGAAAACUGGAUGUAUUUGAACACUGGGGAAAAGUUUAGGGGUGAAUUAGUCAUAAUAACACAGGCAACAAGGAAAAUAAAAGUAAACAACACAUCCACUGAAUCUAGGGAGAAGGAAAUUUAUGCAAGAUAGGAAAAGUAAUUAUACCUUGCUGCAUGGCUCAAUUGUAAAUAGCAUUUACAUAACCUUAGUAGACUGGUCUAAGCAACAUAAAAUUGUAACUUUAUCGGGGGGUUAGAAGUCUGGAGGCAUGCAUGUGUAUAGUAAUGUGGGAGGAAGAAAGAGAGUUAAGUCUGUAUGUCCCAUCUUGGGAAGUCAAUAGAUUAUGCCUAAAACUGAUAAAUCAAGAAUGGCUAUUUGUAAGCAUUUCAUAUAUAUAGAGAGAUUAAUACCAAGAAAAAAUAGCUACAAGUGUCAACAGUGCAUAACACUGAAGAAUAAAAAUAUUGAAAGGAUAUCAGCAGGGGCCUUAUAUUUUAUAAUAAGCCACAUAGAUUUAUUUUGCUGUUUAAAUUCUAUGUCUGUAUAAAAUACAUUAAAACAAAAAACAUACAUUUUAAAAAGUUAGAUCCACACUCUUUAUAAAAAUAUUCAGAUGUAUUAGAAAUAGAGCUAUAACAUUAGAAUAAAGUUCAAUCAGAGUGAAGCAGAAAACAGAUAGGAGUGAGGGGAUUCUGCUGCUCAAAGCUACAGAAGAAAAUGAAGCGAAAAACAUCUGUCUAAUAAAAAGCUAAAACUAAAUAAAAAUCUGAAACUUUAUCAGUUAUGAAACUAAGUUUUAUUAUAAAGUAGCUCAUUCAAAUUAUGAAAACUAUCAAGACCUUGGGAGAUGAAUUUUAAAAAUAUUAUAUGACAAACUAGAAUGGGC